ensembl:lncRNA LINC02791 long intergenic non-protein coding RNA 2791
AUAGUUUGAUCUCUUUCUGCCUAGCUCUCAUGUCUGUCUCUGGAUUGUUUCAAAUCCUAAGAGAAAAGGAAUAUCAUUUAUUGCCUCUUGCAAAGUAAAUACUCCUCUAUUUAACUGACGGGAUGAACCAAUGAUGUCAUUUAACAGUUUGUUUGUUGGUGAUCUCUACUGCUGAAAUCUCAUUAACAUACACAUUUACUCCUUUGAUCUUCACGAUAAUCCCAUGGAAUUGGCAAGUAAAAGGCAUUAUUGACAUUUUACAGGAUUAUAAUUCAGAUUCUUAAGAUCCCCUUUGGCAUUCUUCUCUUUGGGGUCAAACCCAUGUGAAAAAUAUAUUAUACUUUAUAUGCACAUAUAAAUCUGCAUUCGCUGUCUUUUAUGAAUGGAAACAGCACUACUGAAGACAAUCCAGAAUACAGGUUCCCAAUGGUGAUGAAUUAGUAGUAUUCAAGAUCCACGCAUUGCUCAAGAUAUUUGAAGGCAUCCCUCUCCCUAGCAUGAAGAAAAUGUCCAGUGAGGUAUCUGCCAAUCACUCCCCAGGAUGGUACUGAGGGCUGGAUUCUGAAAUGGAUCUGCAUCCAGCUAUGACAUCUGAGUAUUCUCUUUGCCUAAUGAUGCCUGUGCUACCAAAAUCUACUGCAAAUAACCUAAUAAUUGUACACAGACAUCUUGACAUAGGCCAGUUCUCAACAACAGUAAAAUUUUGAGCCUGGAGUAUGAGAGCUGUAGAAAGGACAGCAGAAAAGAAGCAUUGAAAAUAAAUAAAAACUGGUCAGGGGAAAUUUGACAGAA